CCCUGGCCUCACCUCGUUUGGGGCGGGUCCGGGAUCUGGGGAGUGAGCCUCCCUCUCUCUAGUCCCCGGGGUGUAACCUCGACCACCAUCUCCGGGGGUACCUAUCCCCCGCUGGUUUCCGCGGCCCGGGGUGACCCCGCCCCUGCCCGCCCGCAGGUGUUCCACGUGUCCACAGCGCGUGCGUCACAAUGACCUGGGCGACAGGUGGGAGCCUGGGCGAAGGGUUCCCUCUGUGUCCAGGGCAGGGCGUGCUGCUUGCUUCCACUGUAGGUGUCUGUGGCUCUAGGGGACAGGAGACUUCAUGACUUCCAAUGCCACGACACAGGACAGAGGCCUGUACCCGUGAGCCAAGUUUGGACUUCAAGGAAAAAGGCUGUGUGAAAAAAACAAAACAAAAAUAACUGUAUGUAUGCAUAUGUAUAUCAUGUUUUCAUUCCCAUUUAGCCACAUAUCUCUUAUACUUGUAUUUGACGCUGAUAUUCCUCCUCCUCUCUUAGCCUUUGUCAUCAGGAAAGAACCAAACCCUGUUUUUAGGGUACCCUGCAGGGAUCAUCCGAAGAAAAAAAUGCUGAAAUAGCCAUAGCCAGGCUUUCACAGCCGUGAUCCAUAUCAAGUGCAUUGAGAAGAAAGAGGAGCUUCUGGAGGCUGAUCCUAGGAGAAGCCUGAAGACACAAGAAAUGUACUGUUCCCGAAGGAAUGGUUGAAUCCAUCAUGUUGUCCAAAGGCUGUAGAAUAUUGAGAUGGGAUUGUGACAGAACUGAAGAGGAUCAUAAUAAACUAGAGGUCCUGGACUUGAAGACCAAUAUCUCACCUCUUUGUGGGGUGGCUGGAAAUGACCGGUUGUUAUGAAUAUUUCCUUUGGAUAUCAGGGAGAAAAGGUGUGUGUGUGUGUGUGUGUGUGUGUGUGUGUGUGUGUGUUAAAAGUCUUCAUUAUAUAUGAGAAAUUUUAGGCCUCAAGAAACUAUAGAUGGAAGUCCACUUACUUUUCAUGUGGGAGACUGCUGGCCUACUGUGUCCCAGAAAAUUCAUACAACCUUUAAUUGGCUUGUUUUGUGCAGUGUUUCUUAGAUAAUAAAAAAUGUUGUUCUUCCCUUCUUUCUUCCAUCCAUCCUUCUGUCCCUCCCUCCCCUCAGCUACUUAUUUAUUAAAUAUUCAUUGAUAAUCCAGAAGACUGUGAAAGUUGGAGGCCUGGAAAAGACAACCUGAGACCUUCAUUCUUCUUACUAUCCAAUAAAUGCAGAGACAUUUAUUGCAACUCUGCAACUGUUGUGAUCUGGUACAGUCCUGGUCAGAUGUUUAGCCCAAGAUUAUAAAAAAAUAAAACAGAACCAAAAGAAAGAAUGCAUUUUACUUUAAUACCAGUUCUGCAGUUAAUAAGAAGCAUUUUAAACCUUGGAUGUUUAAAGUACUAGUUAUUUGAAAGCAUUUGUAAGUGAUGUUAGAAUUCAAAUAUGAAAUGAGUCUCUGCUGUCUGGCACAACUGUCAUGUGUUCAGAGUCACACUUGUGGGUGAAGAUAAGGUUUCACUUUGUCCCUUUCCACACAAUUUUGAGUUUGCAUUGUAAAGACCCGAUUAAGUAUGUCAGAAAAGUAGGCACCUACUAGGGAAGUGAAAAGUAUUAACUAUUUCAGGCCACUAAUAAAAUAUGACAUUUGCUGCAGAGGUAAAUUAGCAAAUUACGCUCAUGGUGCCAUAGAGAAAUUAAUGUCCCUUUAAAAAAUUUGAAUUAUUUGCCUCACCCUCUUCUUCCCCAGUUUUUAAAGUUAUGAGUUCUAGUGAGCUUGGAAGAGCUUUAUGAUGUUUACUUUUCUCUCCAUUAUCAAAAAGGAAAGGAAUUUAGUAAGGACCAUAAUAUCAUUCUUUGAUCUUUGUUGAUGCUGUGUCAUCUUACAGAUUGUUUGAAAAGACUUGGAACAACUUGAAGCACUUUGAUGGAGAGAUAUGUAAUUUUUUAAAUGUUAUUUUUUUCUUUGACCUUUCAUCUUCCAUAUACUAAUUAUUGUAAAUACAAUUUAAAAAUCAUAAGUU